rnacentral:rRNA from 1 species
GAGUUUGAUCCUGGCUCAGAUUGAACGCUGGCGGUAGGCUUAACACAUGCAAGUCGUGCGAGAAAGUAUCUUCGGAUAUGAGUAGAGCGGCGGACGGGUGAGUAACGCGUAGGAAUCUACCUAGUAGAAGGGGAUAGCCCGGGGAAACCCGGAUUAAUACCGUAUACCUCCUUCGGGAGAAAGAAGGCCUCUCUUUGAAGCUUUCGCUAUUAGAUGAGCCUGCGUAAGAUUAGCUUGUUGGUGAGGUAAAGGCUCACCAAGGCGACGAUCUUUAGCUGGUCUGAGAGGACGAUCAGCCACAUUGGGACUGAGACACGGCCCAGACUCCUACGGGAGGCAGCAGUGGGGAAUAUUGGACAAUGGGCGCAAGCCUGAUCCAGCCAUACCGCGUGUGUGAAGAAGGCCUUCGGGUUGUAAAGCACUUUAAGCAGGGAGAAAAAGUUAUAAGUUAAUACCUUAUAACCGUGAUGUUACCUGCAGAAUAAGCACCGGCUAAUUCCGUGCCAGCAGCCGCGGUAAUACGGAAGGUGCAAGCGUUAAUCGGAAUUACUGGGCGUAAAGCGCGCGUAGGUGGUUUGUUAAGUUGGAUG